CGGGUGAGUAACACGUGGGCAACCUGCCCCAGACUGGGGGAUAACAGUUGUGAAAACAGUGCUAAUACCGCAUGACAGGGUUCCGGGCAUCCGGGACUCUUGAAAGGACGAAAAUCCGGGUCAGGGGAUGGGGCCCGCGUCCAAUUAGCUAGUUGGUGGGGUAACGGCCCACCAAGGCGACGAUUGGUAGCCGAACUGAGAGGUUGAUCGGCCACAUUGGGACUGAGACACGGCCCAGACUCCUACGGGAGGCAGCAGUGGGGAAUAUUGGGCAAUGGGCGAAAGCCUGACCCAGCGACGCCGCGUGAAGGAUGAAGGUCUUCGGAUUGUAAACUUCUUCGAUCAGGGAAGAAAGAAAUGACGGUACCUGAAAAACAAGCCACGGCUAACUACGUGCCAGCCGCCGC
rnacentral:rRNA from 1 species